GAUGAAGAACGCAGCGAAAUGCGAUAAGUAAUGUGAAUUGCAGAAUUCAGUGAAUCAUCGAAUCUUUGAACGCACAUUGCGCCCGUCAGUAUUCUGGCGGGCAUGCCUGUUCGAGCGUCAUUACGCCCCUCAAGUCCCCUGUGGACUUGGUGUUGGGGAUCGGCGAGGCUGGUUUUCCAGCACAGCCGUCCCUUAAAUUAAUUGGCGGUCUCGCCGUGGCCCUCCUCUGCGCAGUAGUAAAACACUCGCAACAGGAGCCCGGCGCGGUCCACUGCCGUAAAACCCCCCAACUUUUUAUAGUUGACCUCGAAUCAGGUAGGAUUACCCGCUGAACUUAAGCAUAUCAAUAAGCGGAGGA
rnacentral:misc_RNA from 1 species